rnacentral:lncRNA from 1 species
CACCUGGGCCCAGCUGGGUCACCUCCUGGGGUCGGGGCUUGCUGUGAGGACCGGGGACCGUGCACAGGGCCCAGGACAGGCCCAGCCCUGGUGAGUGGCACAGGCUGGACCCACUGGGCCAGACAACCUGCUGCACGGCUCUGCGGUGGGUGGCAGGCCUCCCGCUCACAGGGAGGUCCCUGUGGGCCUGGUCUUGUCCUCCUGGAGCCGGCAGGUGGCCUCAGACAACAGACUCCCGGGGAACAGAGGAGCCAGCCCAGGGCCAGGGAGGCUCAAGCGGAGGCUCCCAGGGCAGGGCAGGGCGGCCUCAGAGAGGGUCCAGGUGGGGGGAAGGCCGGUCAGGGUGGACAGGGCCCCCAGGGCCAGGGUGGGGGUGGGGCAGGCCUGCUGGGCUCUGGUUUACAGCGGCCCUUGAGAUGCCGGGAGAUGGCAACUGGUGUCCCCACAAUGUGGCCCUGGGACGAGGCAGAGCCCCCGCAGGGAGGACAGGACCCUCUCGUCAGACCACAUCUGAUGCCCACACUCAGCCCAUCGCCAGGCUGGCUGGACGUGCGGGGGCCCACCCGUGGGUGAGCGACCGGGCCAGCUGACAUGCUGACCUUGGGCUCAACCCGCUCUGUGCCUGAAACACAGGGUCCUCUGGGGCUGGAGUCUUCACACCAACCUGGGUGACAGGGAGUGAGGCACACAGAGGGACAGUCCUGGAGGAAAGUGGGAGCCACGGGUCACCGUGCUCACAGUGCCCCACCCAGGGUGAGGUGUCCACCCCCUGUCUCAGCUCUGCCAACCCAAGGUGGAAUUACACAGAGAGGGCAGGGGCCUGCCUGGAGUCACACAGCACCGGCCUUUGCCUGUCACUUCCCUGACCCAGGGAGACAGGCCGUGUCCACUGUGGGUGCACAGCCUGUUUCCAACCCUGCCCCAGAUUAUCCUCUCCCUGUCUCUGCCUUGGGAAGGUGCCAGGCGGGCAGAUGGGCCGGGUGCUGGCGCUGGCACUACCGCAGCCGGGGUGGCAGCUGCUCUGGGGGAGAUGCGGAGCUGGCUCUGCCGCCUGCCUCCCGAGCAGAACCUUCUGGAUGUUUUGACUCAUUCCACCCAAUGGUCUCCCGGAGCCUGCAGAUCUGGGGCUGGGCCCUGCCAAGUCAAAACAGCUCGGGAGUCUUCCCCAGGGAGGGAGGCCGGCGGCCAGCUCUGGGGCCCAGGAGGCCUCCCCACCCAGCUCCUGGGGGCCACGCCGCGUGCUGGCCACCAGGCUCUCCUUAGAGGGCGCAGGGCCUCAGCCAGAAAAGGGCCCUGCGUGAGGUCCGGCAGUCCAGGGGCUUCUGUAGGCAGUGCUGACCAGCAGGGCUGGUCUCAAAGCCUCCCUUCCGCCCACCAGUAGGCAGCUCCCAAGGAGGGGUGGCCCUGCCCACGGGGAGCACUGGCCACGUGUGUGGGCCGCACCUUCCCACCUGAUAAGGGGCCUGUGCGGGGGACCGGGCAGCCAAGUCACAGGCCACAGGCUGCCGUGGGGCCUGGUGAGACUCGCAACCCGCCUGGACCUCCCAGGGCGGCUCCCGGGGGUGAGGGGCACCGGCGAAUGCCAGCUCAGGCCAGGCAGUUCUGGCUCCUAAAGGACACGGCAGUCCUCUUCCGAUGCCCAGGGUGACACCCUGCUGCUCACCAAGCGUCCCGUGCAAGGACAUCGUCCCAACCUGGCCUUGGAAAUGUCCGUGCAGACCCUGCCCAGGGCACAGCCUUCAGGAUGGAGCAGCCAACCCCGCCCUCUCUUGCUGGCGGCACCAGAGAGCGUGACGGAAUCCUGACGGGAGCUCUGUCACACGCCGCACUGGGGAGGACCUGUCUGUCGGGGCCUUUCUCAGGAGGGGUGUUGAGCUGGGUCAGCCUGGGCGGCUGUGCCCAGCAGGGGGUCAGCAUGGGCGGCCGUGCCCAGCGGUCACCAGGGUGGGGACUCCCAAGCCUUGGGUUCCUUCGGGGCUGGCUUGGUGGAUGACCACAUCAGUCUCCAAGGGGGCUGUGGGACACCACUCUGCCUGGCCCAAGUCCACUGUGGCCCACCCCGCUCCCCCUGCCUCAGGGCCUGGUCACAGCCUGCCAGCCACUGCCCUCCCCCGCAGGCCUCAGCAGUGUCCCUGUCGAGAAGCCAGGCCUGAGCCUGACCCACCUGCUGCCCGCCCUCCUUGCCCGCCGGGCCUGAGGACAGUCGGGACAGCAGCGGCAGCUUGAGCUCUGCGGGAGGGACGAUGAGUCCACCCGAGACCUCCACGGCUAGGGACCAGGGUCCCCGCGGGUCAGCGUGGAGGUCAGCCCUCCGGUGGCCACCUGCUCACUGAAUGGGCCUUUCUGAGCCGUUGUGGGUGCGGAUUGGGUUCCACCAGGGGGGUCAUGGCAGCUGGAAGCCAGAGGGGUCGACUGAGGGGAGCCAGGUGGCCACCCGAGGUCCUCCCUGCUGCUCGGGAGGCGGCGGAGGCCAGGGAAGGAGGCCAGGGACUGCCACAGCUCACGCCCCACAUGGGAGUGGCUGCUUUCCCAUUCAGAGCCAAAUCAAGGCCAUCGUCUGGAUGUGUCCUCAGGGGCCAUGGGUUCUGCCCAGGGUCCAGUCAGGUGGAGAGGGCAGGGUCCAUCUCUUCUUCUCUAGGACCACCCACCUGGCUUCCCGGUCCUGCAUGGGACCAGAGCCAGAGUGACCAGGAGGACAGCAGCCUCAGCCACUGGGGCCUCUCCGGCACGGGAAAGUAUCUAACGUGUCCAUGCUCCGUGGGCCAGGCAGCAGAGGGCAACAGGAAGCUGAUGUGCAGCAGAACUGUCCACCGCCUGCCACUUCUUCCUGCCCACGCAGCCCAGGUCCUAGCCCGUCCUGACUCAGGUCAGGGGCUCGACCCCGGCCACCCGCUCCCAGGCUGCGAGGAGUGGCGCCCCGUGACUCUGAGGUCAGCUCAGGACAGCUGUGGCCACGCGUCGACCUCCAUAGACCCCGGGGCCCCCAGGCAGAGCCUUGGGUGCGGCAGUCCCAGCUGCUGGGUGCCCGGCGGGGCCCUGGACAGAGGGCAGGGACGCUGGCCACUGGGCGUCCCCAGGUCACAGUCCACAAGUCCUGGAUUAAAGCUGCCCAAACAACCCGCUGCAAGCCCUUGCUGCAAGCCCCCGGCCAGGGUGUCCCAGCUAGUAGGCAGCUGCCUCUCCCCGCGGCAGCACUGUCACCCAUGAAAAGCGGUGGCAGGGGUUGUCCGGCAGGCCUACCAGAGGACAGGGCGCAGCCCUCCAAUUCUUCUUGAAGCCAGUGGACAAGUCAGACCCAGGGACCCAGGGACCGUAAGACAGAGGUCCCAGCAGAGGUGGGCACACCCUCUCAGACACUGCAAGACCACAGCCAAGGAGGCAGGAGGACCCUGGUGCCCCUCAGCAGAUGCCAGACUGGCUGUGUGGCCUGCGCACAGUGGGACACUGGCGGCCACAUGCAGGGCAGAGGCUGACUGCACCGCGUGGGCAGACCCAGAGCACACCGAGUGAGACGGCCGGCUCCCCGGGGCUCAGGCUGACCCAUGAGUGCCUGAGCAGGGCUCCACGUCCACCGCCGUCCACGGAGAGGCCGCUUCCAGGGGCUCCCCUCAGCAGGGCCCCCGCAGCCUCGUCCCAGUAGACAGGUCAAGCCACCCUCGGUCCCAGGACCAGAGGACACCCUGCUGACCUCGGAGGUUGGCCUCAGAGGAGUCCAGGGGGACAUCCUGUCUGCUGGGCACCAAGCAUCCGCAGACUCCAGGUCCUGAGGAGCGUAUGCCCCAGCGUGGUCACCCUUGGUACCCACCCUGCCCUUGCUGGACACUGCAAGGCCUCCUCUUGCCUGUCUGCCCAGUGACCUUCUCAAGGGGUAGCCUGGCCACUUGGGGCUCCCUGGGACACGCUGGUGCAGGACCAAGGCCAGAGCCCUUCCCUGCCCUGCAGCCCCCGGCCUCCUCGCUCCCAGAGGGCCUCUGCCCAGCUGGGCACCUGACCCUGGCACCUUCAGGGCCAGGGUGGUCACUUCACUUUGUGGUCACUUGGGGGGUCCCUGCUUCCUCCGCCCUGCGCUGCCCAGUGAGCUCAGAAGCCCAGAAGGGAGAAGACCCCCAGCAGGAGGAGCUGUCCCCAGGUCACAGUCCACGAGUCCUGGAUUAAAGAACACACGGCA